UACAGAGGGGGCAAGCGUUAUUCGGAAUUAUUGGGCGUAAAGGGCGCGUAGGCGGCUUUUCAAGUGGCGGGUGAAAUCCCUCGGCUUAACCGAGGAACUGCCUGCCAGACUGGAAGGCUUGAGACCGGGAGAGGUGAGUGGAAUUCCCAGUGUAGCGGUGAAAUGCGUAGAUAUUGGGAGGAACACCAGUGGCGAAGGCGGCUCACUGGACCGGUCCUGACACUCAGGAGCGAAAGCGUGGGGAGCGAUCCGG
rnacentral:rRNA from 1 species